GAGUGUGAGGGUCGUCUGGCUGUGAUGUCUAUCACUCUGCUGAGUGGCAGAGCUGAUUCUGCUGAACUGGCUGGCCAGGUGGGUGUCCCUUCCUCCCUCACUGCUCCACCUGCAUCCCGCAAAGCUGUGCAAUCAUUGAAAGAGGACAACCACCUCUAAAAAGACAACUGCUUCCUUGGGCAAGGGUGUAGGUGUACAUGGGCUCCCCUGCAGAACCUCCAAACACCAUGAGUCCUGAAGUGCUGGAAACCACUGAUCCAGGCCAAGACCAAUGUGGUUCUGACUCAGAAUGGCACCAGAGGGCCAGAGGACCACAUAUG
rnacentral:snRNA from 1 species